rnacentral:rRNA from 1 species
AUACGGAGGGUGCGAGCGUUAAUCGGAAUUACUGGGCGUAAAGCGCGCGUAGGCGGUUUGGUCAGUCAGAUGUGAAAGCCCUGGGCUCAACCUGGGAACUGCAUUUGAUACUGCCAGGCUAGAGUAUGGUAGAGGGAAGUGGAAUUCCGGGUGUAGCGGUGAAAUGCGUAGAUAUCCGGAGGAACACCAGUGGCGAAGGCGACUUCCUGGACCAAUACUGACGCUGAGGUGCGAAAGCGUGGGUAGCAAACAGGAUUAGAUACCCCAGUAGUCC